CCUACGGGAUGCAGCAGUGAGGAAUAUUGGUCAAUGGACGAGAGUCUGAACCAGCCAAGUAGCGUGAAGGAUGACUGCCCUAUGGGUUGUAAACUUCUUUUAUAUGGGAAUAAAAUGUUCCACGUGUGGGAUUUUGUAUGUACCAUAUGAAUAAGGAUCGGCUAACUCCGUGCCAGCAGCCGCGGUAAUACGGAGGAUCCGAGCGUUAUCCGGAUUUAUUGGGGUUAAAGGGAGCGUAGGUGGAUUGUUAAGUCAGUUGUGAAAGUUUGCGGCUCAACCGUAAAAUUGCAGUUGAAACUGGCAGUCUUGAGUACAGUAGAGGUGGGCGGAAUUCGUGGUGUAGCGGUGAAAUGCUUAGAUAGCACGAAGAACUCCGAUUGCGAAGGCAGUUCACUGGACUGCAACUGACACUGAGGCUCGAAAGUGUGGGUAUCAAACAGGAUUAGAUACCCGUGUAGUC
rnacentral:rRNA from 1 species